AUUGAACGCUGGCGGAAUGCUUUACACAUGCAAGUCGAACGGCAGCACGGGGCAACCUGGUGGCGAGUGGCGAACGGGUGAGUAAUAUAUCGGAACGUGCCCAAUCGUGGGGGAUAACGUAGCGAAAGUUACGCUAAUACCGCAUACGAUCUACGGAUGAAAGCGGGGGAUCGCAAGACCUCGCGCGAAUGGAGCGGCCGAUAUCAGAUUAGGUAGUUGGUGGGGUAAAGGCUCACCAAGCCAACGAUCUGUAGCUGGUCUGAGAGGACGACCAGCCACACUGGAACUGAGACACGGUCCAGACUCCUACGGGAGGCAGCAGUGGGGAAUUUUGGACAAUGGGCGCAAGCCUGAUCCAGCUAUUCCGCGUGCAGGAUGAAGGCCUUCGGGUUGUAAACUGCUUUUGUACGGAACGAAACGGUCUGCCCUAAUACGGCGGGCUAAUGACGGUACCGUAAGAAUAAGCACCGGCUAACUACGUG
rnacentral:rRNA from 1 species